UACAGAGGGUGCAAACGUUGCUCGGAAUUAUUGGGCGUAAAGGGUGCGUAGGCGGCAUGAUAAGUUAUUGGCGGCAAAUCGAGGCUCAACCUCGUGGAAACUGAUAAUACUGUCUUGCUUGAGUGCAGAAGAGGUUAACGGAACUCCAUGUGGAGCGGUAAAAUGUGUAGAUAUAUGGAAGAACAUCAAUAACGGCGAAGGCAGUUAACUAUUCUGUUACUGACGUUGAGGCACGAAAGCGUGGGGAGCAAAAAGG
rnacentral:rRNA from 1 species